UCCAAUAGGAAUCUGUAUGCUUUCAAAC
rnacentral:piRNA from 1 species